UGCUUAACACAUGCAAGUCGAACGAGCAAAAUUAGUGCUUGCACUAAUGGAGCUAGUGGCAAACGGGUGAGUAAUACAUGGGAAUCUGCCUUGUAGAAUGGGAUAACUGUUGGAAACGACUGCUAAUACCGCAUAAGCGCACAGUGCUGCAUGGCACAGUGUGAAAAACUCCGGUGGUGUAAGAUGGACCCGCGUCUGAUUAGCUAGUUGGUGAGGUAAUGGCUUACCAAGCCGACGAUCUGUAGCUGGUCUGAGAGGACGACCAGCCACACUGGGACUGAGACACGGCCCAGACUCCUACGGGAGGCAGCAGUGGGGAAUUUUGGACAAUGGGCGAAAGCCUGAUCCAGCCAUGCCGCGUGCAGGAUGAAGGCCUUCGGGUUGUAAACUGC
rnacentral:rRNA from 1 species